rnacentral:rRNA from 1 species
GAUGAACGCUGGCGGCGUGCUUAAUACAUGCAAGUCGAACGGAAAGGCCCCUUUGGGGGUACUCGAGUGGUGAACGCGUAAGUAACACGUAAGUAACCUGACCUUGCCUUUGGGAUAACUUUAGGUUACUGGGGCUAAUACUGGUUAGGAAUACUUGUUGCAUGCUGAGGGUUGGAAAGCUUCGGCGGUUUUUGAUGGAAUUGAGGCAUAUCUGCUUGUUGGUGGAGUUGUGGCUUAAGCAGGCUUUGACGGGUAGCCGGCCUGUGGGGGCGACCGGCCACAUAGGGACUGAGAUGCGGCCCAGACACCUACGGGAGGCAACAGUGGGGAAUAUUGCACGAGGAGCGGAAGCCUGAUGCAGCAACGCCGCGGACGGGAUGACGGCGUUCGGAUUGUAAACCACAUUCAGCAGGAGCGAAGCUUGUGGUGACGGUACCUGCAGAAGAAGCACCGGCUAACUACGUG